UACAGAGGUCUCAAGCGUUGUUCGGAUUCAUUGGGCGUAAAGGGUGCGUAGGCGGCGCGGUAAGUCGGGUGUGAAAUCUCGGGGCUUAACUCCGAAACUGCAUUCGAUACUGCCGUGCUUGAGGACUGGAGAGGAGACUGGAAUUUACGGUGUAGCGGUGAAAUGCGUAGAUAUCGUAAGGAAGACCAGUGGCGAAGGCGGUUACCUGGAGCUUUGCUGACGCUGAUGCGCGAAAGCGUGGGGAGCGAUCCGG
rnacentral:rRNA from 1 species